rnacentral:tRNA from 1 species
GAGUACAUAGUUCAGUGGGUAAGAACACUUGCUAUGCAAGCAGGAGGACCAGAGUUCAAAUCCUGAGAACCCA